CAACCUGCCCAUCACUUGGGAAUAACCUUGCGAAAGUAAGACUAAUGCCCAAUGGUAUUUAUANAAGGCAUCCGAAAUGAAUUAAAGAUUUAUCGGUGAUGGAUGGGGAUGCGUCUGAUUAGCUUGUUGGCGGGGUAACGGCCCACCAAGGCGACGAUCAGUAGGGGUUCUGAGAGGAAGGUCCCCCACAUUGGAACUGAGACACGGUCCAAACUCCUACGGGAGGCAGCAGUGAGGAAUAUUGGUCAAUGGGCGAGAGCCUGAACCAGCCAAGUAGCGUGCAGGAUGACGGCCCUAUGGGUUGUAAACUGCUUUUAUAGGGGAAUAAAGUGAGCCACGUGUGGUUUUUUGCAUGUACCCUAUGAAUAAGGACCGGCUAAUUCCGUGCCAGCAGCCGCGGUAAUACGGAAGGUCCGGGCGUUAUCCGGAUUUAUUGGGUUUAAAGGGAGCGUAGGCCGGAGAUUAAGCGUGUUGUGAAAUGUAGAUGCUCAACAUCUGAACUGCAGCGCGAACUGGUUUCCUUGAGUACGCAUAAAGUGGGCGGAAUUCGUGGUGUAGCGGUGAAAUGCUUAGAUAUCACGAAGAACUCCGAUUG
rnacentral:rRNA from 1 species